rnacentral:rRNA from 1 species
GACGAACGCUGGCGGCGUGCUUAACACAUGCAAGUCGAACGGAAAGGCCCUGCUUUUGUGGGGUGCUCGAGUGGCGAACGGGUGAGUAACACGUGAGUAACCUGCCCUUGACUUUGGGAUAACUUCAGGAAACUGGGGCUAAUACCGGAUAGGAGCUCCUGCUGCAUGGUGGGGGUUGGAAAGUUUCGGCGGUUGGGGAUGGACUCGCGGCUUAUCAGCUUGUUGGUGGGGUAGUGGCUUACCAAGGCUUUGACGGGUAGCCGGCCUGAGAGGGUGACCGGCCACAUUGGGACUGAGAUACGGCCCAGACUCCUACGGGAGGCAGCAGUGGGGAAUAUUGCACAAUGGGCGGAAGCCUGAUGCAGCAACGCCGCGUGCGGGAUGACGGCCUUCGGGUUGUAAACCGCUAUCGCCUGUGACGAAGCGUGAGUGACGGUAAUGGGUAAAGAAGCACCGGCGAACUACGU